GCAGGGGAGGCUGCCGAGCCCUGUCGGAGCAGGGCCGCUGGUUGCCGCUGUCAGGCUCCCUCCCUCCAGCGCGGCUGAGACUACAGACCUCUCCUGCCUGUGCAGAAAACUAAAGACCAGCCGCGAGGCCGAUCCUGGCUCAGCCUAGCCGCAGCUCUCUACAAGUUACCAGUAGUCUGGUAGGCCUUUCAGCACCCCAGUCUUCUUUCAGCUGAGAGAGAAGAACAAAAUGUGAGCAUGUGAAAGAACAGCAUGAAGACAUUAAGGCCAGGAGAAUGUUUCUGAGAGAAAUGGAAAGUUUGGAAGCCAUCCUGAAAACGCAGACAGUAAGAGUGCCUAAACCCAUCAAGGUUGUAGAACUGCCUGGGGACAGUACUGUGCUGGUGAUGGAACAUUUGGAAAUGAAGAGCUUACACAGGUAAAAUAGUUAUUUUUGCUUCCCUUGACCAGAAAUUUUGGCUAUUAUGACAAUGAAAUCACUUGCUUUCAUAGGAGAAACUUGUUUAAAUUUUUUAUAAAGCAUGUCAAGGGACAUAUGGGAAGUUAUGCAGCAGAGAACUGUAUUAAAUACUUUAUAACGCCUCACUUAGCAAACUGAUAAUACAUCAAGAAAUAAUUCUGGGUUUUGAUUACUUUUGGCUUCUUUGUUUAGGUAAUUAGUGGUUUUUACAAUAAGGUUCGUUUUUACAUUAGGGAAAAUUACCAACCUGGUCACCUGUUUUGUGUACUUGCCUUUGAUACAAGAACCAGUGCUGUAAGGUUUGCCAUGAGUAUGCAAAGGCACUUUCCCAAAUGAAUUAAUCUUGAUUUCAAUAUUUUUGCAACUCUUGGCCUUCAUUUUGAUAGUUUCAAACUUUUGACCCUUCUCUGUGACUAGCACUUAAUAUGAUGAAUCCCAUCUGAUUCCACUGGGGAUCAUGACCAAUUUCUUUUCUCAUUUUCAGAACUUCUGUAGCCAGUUUUAAGUCUUGUCCCUCAUCCUGCUCGUUGCCAGGGUUUGAUCCAUGAAGAGCUCUCAGUGAGUCCCGAGAGAAAGGGCAGAGAUCUUGUAGUUUGGAUUUCAAAUUGUACCUUUGGGGUGCAAAUUCUGGGGGAUACCUACUAUCUGUGUUAACAGGAAUAAAAUGAAGAACUAAAUUUGCUUUAAAUGGCAGUGCCUUUAGAAUACAGAAAGUGCAGAAAGGUCAAGUAAAGGAAAAGGAACAUAAUUUUGUUAAUAUGGGGGGCAACUGGCUCUAAGGGUUGUUUGCAAUUACUACAAGACUUUCCCGAACUUUGUAGAGGAUCAACUUUUAUUAAAAAUAGAUAUUAAACUAGGUCUACCUGACACCUGUCUUUGAGGCCUUUUAGAAAACAGCAGCCAGAGACAGGGAUAGAAGAAAGAGGAUCAGCCUUGUUUGAUUCUAUUUUCCAAAGACAGCUUCCCAGAGAAAAUAAUAAUAAUAAUAAAAGGAAUAAAAUGUUCCACAUUAUGUGCACGCUUUCUUACACAUACCUUAGUGAAAAUGCUUAGUGAAGUGAUAUCACACAGGAAUUAGAAUUUAUAGUUUAUCAUUGUUAGUAAAUUUAUUACUUCACUUUCAAUAAUGGUGGCAGAAACAACCAAGUAAGUACAUUUUGUCUAUAUUAAUAUGCAGUCUUGAUAGGAAGACAGAGUGCUUAUAAUACUGGAAUGUUUUGGGAACCUAUUUUGUUAGAGGUGAAGAACUGCUACUUACUUGAUAGACAUGUUCAAAUAACUCCUGGAAUAUCGAGAUCUGGAUUCAUUCUUGGGUCAGAGUUGCUAGCAUUAUUUUUGUUUCUUAUACAUUCAGCACUGCUUGGAACUCAGCUGGCUGAUCUUCACCUUCAUAACCAGCAGCUUAGAGAGAAGAUGGAGAAAGAAGGGAGCACAGUUGGACAUGGACAAAUGGAAGUCCAGUUUGUGGAUCAGUUUGGCUUUCAUACAGUUACCUGCUGUGGUUAUCUUCCAAAGAACUGACAUCUGCAGUCCUGGUUCUUCAGGUGAAGAACUGGUGCAGUGCCAGAGAAAGGAUCCAGCCCCAGAUCAACCUGAUUGAAAGGAGCUCAGGAGACAGGGAAGCAAGGGAACUUUGGACACAGCUUCAGCUGAAGAUACCCAGUUUUUUCUGUGGUGUUGAAAUCAUUCCUUCUCUCCUGCAUGGGGAUCUCUGAGGAGAAAAUGUAGCUGAGGAUGAUUCUAGUCCAAUUAUCUUUGAUCCAGCUUCUUUCUAUGGGGAUUCAGAGUAUGAUCUUGCAAUAGCUGGGAUGUUUGGUGGCUUCAGCAGUUCUUUUUAUUCUGUUUAUCACAGUAAAAUCUCCAGAGCUGCAGGGUUUGAGAAAUGCCUGCAGCUUUAUCAGCUUUUCCACUACAUGAACCACUUUGGUUCAGGGUACAGAGGGUCUUCUAUAAACCUUAUGAGAAACCUUGUGAAGUUGCUGCUUAAGCCAAGUACUUCUUGCGCUGUUUGGAAAACCCCAGACUUGCUACUGCAGCUGAAGGUGCAGUGAUGUUAAAAAAACCCUGUGAGAUCCUUGACCUUCUUGCUCAGCUGAAGACCUUAGAAUUAGUGAGUCCUACUGAGUACCAAGUAGGAACUUUUUAGAAUUGUUGGGAAUAGCUUUAUCAUGGAAAUACCAUGAUUAUUCACUAAUGCAUAGUGAGUAAACUAAUCUCAGCAUCCAGAAAGCACUUGGGAUUAUGCAAAGUAAUACAAAUAAAUACUGAGGAGAUGCCUAAAAAAGUUGCUCUCUGUGUUUUGUGGUGUCUUCCCCCCUCUUUCUCAUGCAGUUGUGAGCAUGAUUGCAAUGUUAACAACAUGGUUUGAAAGCCAACAGGAAAAUAAUGUAACAGGAACUGUAAGAAGGGAUUUGGACUUGCUGUUUAUUGUCAUAGAAUCACGGAAUGGGUGAGGUUGGAAGGGAUCACUGGAUGUCAUCAAGUCCAGCCUCUCUGCUUUAAGCAGAGUCCUCUAGAUCCCAUUACUCAAGGUUGUGUCCAGAGGCUUUUAAAGACCUCCAAUGUGUUGCUAAUAUGAUUCUUUUGGAUGGAGACUAUUCUUUUAUAAAGUGGAGUGAAAUUUUGAUGCCUCCUAGCAUGCUUGUAGGCUGUUCUGUGCUUUCUGGUCAGAAAAGAGCUAGUUCUUUUCCCUUAUUUGAUUAUAUUUAUGUCAAAUAGUGUGUAUUUUUAGAGAACUCUCCAGGUAAGACACUUUGCAUGUACACAUCUUGUGGAGGUGUAUUCUCUCACCACUGCAAACAGAAGAUGCUUUUUGACAGCUGUCACUGCCUUCACAACAAUGCCAUCUGGUCAUGGUGCAGUCUUCACAUACAUUUUCUGUAGCUUUAGAGUACAGGUGCCAUAAGCUAACAUUUUAUUUCAGUCCUUGUGGAGAAAUAUUAAAAGACAAGUCUGAGCAAAGGAAGUCCAUGGUGGCAAUAGUUCAACAGAAACAAGAAGUUUGCAGCCCCAGGAGUGGGGACACUGAGGGAGCCAGGUGUGCUGCCCUGAGGGAAGCAGGAAACAAAGGAUGGAGUGGCAUGGAGGUGUUGUGGCCAUGCUCUGUUUAAAACAAUGUAGCCAAUGGGAGCUAAGCCAAGGAAGGGCCCAACCAGUCACCAAAAGCUGAAUUUUGUUUUAUUGGCUAGAAAAUACAUAAAACUUUUCAUACCUGCGUAUGCUAAUGAAGUAAAACCUCUACAUGCUUUACAUGUGUGAACUAAAAUCACUCAAUUUCCAUGUAAUCAUGAAAUUACAUCAGCUGGAACUUUUUCUUUUCCUCGCCCCCAAAGAAAACUAUAAAUACAGCAUAGGAGGGAGGGGGUCAGAGGACACUUGCCCUGUGUAUCCUGGGAUGACUGAUGGGCUGUACCCUGCUGCUUUUCCACUGGGGUGCCUUCAAUUUUGUAUAUAUUUUACCAGUGUGUGGAUGCUGAUGAUAAAAUGUUCUGUCUGUGCCUUUUUCCUCAUUCCAUUCACCCAAACUUAGUCCAGUUGGUUGAGAAAAUGCUUUGGAGCUUUAGCCAGCAGUCAGCCUGUUAAGAUCCCGUAACUGAUCCAUCUUCCUUCAUAAUAAACUUAGAAGUUACUUAACAAGGUCAUUCUCUUUACAAAUCUUCAAAUGUUUGUACCAAGCUAUAGCAAAAUUCUGCAUUUAUUACUAAAAAAUAAAAUAUUGAAGCAAAAAGGAUGUCCCAUACAUUCAGGAGCUUUUCCUUUCCUCCAUGGGAGGCCUCAGUUAAACCAGCUGAAAUAAAUAGAAAUUGUUCCAUGAGAUAGGAAUAAAACUGGAUUUGUUACAAGUGUCCAUGUUAGGUUCUUUCACUUCUUUUAUAGGCAACUCCCACCCCUUUCUCUCCCAAUACAUUCUAUACAUCUUCCUAUAUUUUUCUUUUUUAAAUUCUGGAAGUGUAAAGUGUGAGAAGAGACAGGAUGAAAGGCAUCAGAGAGUUGCAUUUUUAAAGUACCAACAAAAUCUUAACAGAAAGUUCUGAAAAAAUACUGCUUGUUAUUAUUGUAUUGUAUUUUAGAAACAGGCUUCUAUCACAAGUCACUAUGGCUUUGGGUCAGUUAUGGGUUUGAUUUAGACAAUGAGCACAGUAACUUCAGGUGGAGGACUGGUAAUGCAGCCAGAAGGGUAUUGCAAAAACAUAACACUUUUGAGAAAUAAAAUUAUACCUUUGGGGUGAAUACCAUUAAUAUUAAAAAAAAAAAAAAAAUUACAAUUCCAGCAGAGGAAAACUACUCCUUUAAAAGUUACUGUUUCUGAAAAUGAAACAGAAGAAAGUUAUUUCUGUUCAACUAGUGUGAAAAUCUGUAGUUUAAAAAAAAACAUUUGUAUUGUUUUAUAUAAAUAUUACAAAAGUUUUCACUAGCUAAGAUAUGUUAAUAUAAAUUAAGUGAAAUGAUUGUCUAGGCAGCAAGAACAAGAAAAUCCACUUGUUCUUAGUGUCACACUCACACUGUGUUUUUAAAGGAGAUAAAAAGAUAGCUUUACUCUGCUUAUGAUGCAUUAUACUCAACUCUAACAUGGAGAGGGGACAUCUUUUCACACACAUGCCUAAGUUUGCAUGUCAUGUGUGCUCACAGCGGUCAAAUAAUGAAAGGAAUUCUCCACUCUGUGAAUCCAAGAUUGAAUUCUAAAUUGUACCAUCUGAGAACUAAUUUUAUGAUCAUGAUCUCCAGCUGUCAAUCAGCCAGGAUUUAAAAAAAAAAAAAGGUUUUCUGAGAAAGAAAACAUGCUACAGUUUCUGAUAUGAUGAUACAAUUUCAAUACUAAAAAGUAUCUAUUUCUUCUAUUGUUACCUUCUGUUGUUUUCAUGUCUCCUUGGUUUAGCUGGGAGGCCUCGCUUAAACUUUCAAUUUACUGUGGAUAUCGCAUCCUACAAAUAUGCAGAAGCCAGGAAACUUUAUGAGCUUUAGAUUGCAAAGUUGGGUACAUGAUACCUCUGGUAGUAUGAUAUCUAAAAAGUCACAUUAAAAUAUGAUCCAUCAGUUUAACUAAAAUGAGGUCAGAAAAUAACCAGGGUUAUUCUUUUAUAUUUUUUUCUGUCAUUUGUUACAAGGUGUCAUGGUUUGACCCUGGCAGAAUGCCAGGGCCCCCAUGAAAGGUAUAUUUCCAAAAUGGUUACUGUGAGAUGUGACCUGGAAACAGAACAAAGCAGGCUCCAACUUGGGAAUGGAGGGAAAAACACAACACUUUAUUAAUCUACAACACAGAAACAUAAGGGAAAAAAAGAAAAAAAAAAACCACACACAACAAUCCACUCCAGUAUUUGGAACACUCCCAAAACACUCCUCCUCCCCCCAGUCCUCUAACAUUCAAAUCUCCUCUAACACAUCAAUUCUCAAUCCAAUACCAUCCUUCACACAACUUCCCCCCAGUUCAUCAGGAGAGAGGAAUCUCCCUCUUACACCAUGGGCCUCCCCAGGAAACACAGUGGGACCUCCUGUGCUUCUGUGUCACACGCGGCAGCCGCCCGGAGAGAAUCUGCCGUGGUGACCAUCUUCCUUCCAUGUCCAGCGCUCUCACCACUGUCCAUGGAUCCAAACUGCUCCUUGGGUCCUUUUAAGAAUGCUUUGUCGCCCAGUUCCAAGAAGUGUCAGCCUCUCACCAUUUGGGACACCUGUCCCCCCCAUAUUUUUACUCCCCUGGGGCCUGGGUCUCAGGAACAGAGAUCCUUCGCUGAAGGCAGAGGGCUCCACCACACCCUCCCCAUCAGUCUCUCUUCCCUCUAACUCUCCUCACAGCCUUACCAUUCUUGGCUUCCGGCCAACCGCCUCCCCCAAGGUGCAGUCUCUGCAUUAUUGGAAGAAAUUGGUUUCACCCGUGGCUAUGUAAGAGAAAAGUCCAGCCAAAGCCACUCCAGUCAUCUCCUCCAUCUAGGGCACUCUCAUCUGCUGGCGUUUUCUUUACCUACUCAAACCUUCUCUUCUUUCCCAUCCUCCGUCCCCUCUCAAUCUGCGGCACAAGAUAUCAAAUUCCAAGCCAGCACAGUCUCUAUCAUUCUCUCCCAGGGGGGCUGCCCAAACAUCCCAGGUCUCCUCCACCCCUGCACCUUGCAGGGCUCCGGCCUCCCUUCCCUCAGGCCGCAUGGCCUCCCCCUCCCCCACCCAGACAUAGCUGGGCAGGGGUAGGAGGUCAGACCAGCUCACCUGCCGGACUCCAAAGAGGAAGUUUCUCUGGGAAUGCUCUGCUUUUAACCCCUGUGUGUUCUCAGAGGCGUAUCCAAAUCCUCAGUGGCCAGCACCAGAUGCCAAUUUCAAAUCUGGCCAAUGAUUGGUUUGACCACGACUUUUCCAGAAACUCACUUCUGGGCCAAACCACGACACAAGGCAUGAAGGGUGAAACAAACUCAAAAGUCUGUCUAUGCCUAGGAAAAUAUAUGAGGUUUUAUAUUUCAGAUGCAAAGAGGAAGCACAACUCAAAAGUCUUGAAGCAGAUGAAAGGCAAAAUUCUAGCUCACUCAGAAAGGUCACUUCUGUCAGUCCUAUGAAGAAAACUUCAGAUUCAGAGUAACACAGAGUCAGACCUUGGGAGAUUAUGCACUCUGGAAAUGCACACCUGCACCGAAGGCAUAGUGAGGAUAACAGGAGCAGGUUCCUCUGUGUCUCACCCCAACAUGACAGGAUUGCAUGGGAGGGAGUGCAGCACAGAGAGGAAAAUGCAGGCUACAGGGCUCCAUAUUAUGGCAGCAGCAGAGAGAUGAAUAUUUUUAGAAAGGAAUUGCUUCUCUGAAGCCAGAGAUUUAUGGCCAUAGAAAAAGACACCUGAAAGAUUCCUUCAUAAGAUAUUAGUGGAUAAUUUGAGGUAGUGGUUAAACAACAAAAAAAAUCUUCUCUAUAAAGAGACAUCUUAAAAAGGUCAGCAACUGGCUUUUGAAACCAGUGUUGUGAAGGAGGUAUUUCCUUAAAAACUUCAUGGUUUUCUUUUUAUCUUCAAUAGAACAGGAAAAGUCAUAACUGUACUAGGAAUGUAUUUAACGUUGAUUUAAUAACCUAAAUAUCUAUUACAAUUAAAUAAUAUAAUAAUAAUUAAAGCUAUUUUAGAGUUCUGCUAGCACUUUGCUUUCCACUGUGUGGAAAGACAAAUAUUUGUCCAUGCCUGUCUAUCAUUUACAAACUUCUCAGCCUCCCUUCCUUGCAUUUAGAACCUCCUGAAAAUAGAGACUGCUAGAACACUGCCUCUUUGAGAGGAAUUACGGAGCAAACAAGCCUGAAGAUGCAACUUCUCAGAAAGGAAGAAAAUAGAGGAUUCACCGCCAAUGUUAUGUCUUGUCAAACAUCCCUCCUUGGCCAUACAAAGGAGUGGGGAAGGGAAGAUGUACCGGGGGCAUGCACGAAGACGCCCCGGUGCGGCAGGGGCGGGCGGCAGCGGGGAAGGGGCUCUGGGUGGGGAGAUGCCCGGGGGACCGAAAAGGAGGCAGGCGAGGAGUUUCAGGCUGCGAGCACGGCUCGUCCCUACGCGUGGAGCGCGUUCUGCCGUCCUCGCCUGCAGAGCCACUCGGCGGCGCUCCUGGCCCCGCGCUCCCGGUGCGCGGCGGCGGCGAAGGUGCCGCCGCUCCUCCCGGAGCGCGGAGCGCCAGCGGAUGAGGCUGCUGUGGCCCCGCCAGGCCUCUCCAUCCUGCGGCCAUCCCGGCGGGAAGGGGCGGCGGGCGGGCAGCUGGGGAAGGGCACGGCUCGGCUCCUGGCGGGGAAAGGCUCCAGCCGCGGAAACAACUCCUUCCCCGUUCGCCUGGCCGCCGCAGGGACACGGGACACCAGCGACGGCCCGACCUUACUCUGCCGGGCACCGUGCACUGAGCUUUGAUGGCCACGCGGCUGUGGCAGCGUUCCUCCUGCAGGCAGCUGCUGCUGCACCCUGGUCGUGGGCAGAGGGAAGGGAACUGGGAGCCACAGGUGAGGAGAAUAUCCAGUGCCAGUGAGUGCCAGUGAAAAUGAGAAGUUGGAUUUUUCACUUUUAACACCCCAAACCGCCAGUUACAUCACUUCCUGUUACUUCUUGUAAAACAAGAGCAGUGUCUGCUUCUGGUGACUAGGAAUAUAAAUGCUCUGGUGUUUGUGAAGGGCUCCUGGUGUUAAGAAUGAGCACUGUGUCUGUAGGGAUUGUAUUCUACGUUUUUUUAAUGUUUUGGGGUUUCUUGCCUACUGAAUACAGUCCAGGUCAUGUGAAGACACUGAGUAUUUAAGAAAAACCAAAACAACAAACCAUCAACCAAACAACUCCAAAACUAAUCAGAAUGGAUAAACAAAUGAGACUAAAUUUGUGUUGGUCAGCUCUGCCAGUAUGAUGAUUAAAACAGACAUAUUAAUGGAAUUGUGUUGAGAUAGCACUCUGUGGAAAUGACAGUGACUUAUGAGGGAUGAACACUCUGCCAAGCAAAAUACUGAAAAAAUUCUAAAUGACUACUGAAUACUGACAGAUCUCUGUCAGUUGUAUUUAAUUCUUAUUUUAUGAUUAAAUAUUAUAAUGAUAAAUAAUGAUGAUUAAAUAUUAUAAUGAUUUUUAUAUCUAAUGUAAGCUAUUUUUACCUUCAGAAUAAAGUAGUUGGAUGGCAGUAGGGUUUUUUUGCUUCAGUAUUGUUUUGUAGAACAGCAAUUCAAAAUGUGCUUGUGCAAAUAUUUAAUUAUUUCUACUAUUUAUGUUUCUAAGCUCUAGCAGACAAGGAACACCAUGCACUAAAUGAUUAUUUCAGCCAAUGAAACCAGGUUUUGUUACAUCUGACUAAGUCCCCAAGUUUUGGAGGAAAAGUUAAAAGAAAGUAAUGUCACCUCUCACUAACUUAGCAAAAACUGUUUCCACUUUACAUUUAUCCAAAUAAUGGUGCAUCUACAGCUGAAGAAAAAGGCUUUUUGUGCCUCU